UGCUUGGGUAUCUGCCCUGUUGUGGGGAGUAACAAGCUGGAAACGGACGUGCUAAUAACCGCCAUAAUAAUCUACGGAGUCAAAGGUAGGCCUCCUUCUUUGAAAGACUAUCGCGAUAGGAUGAACCCAACGUGGGAUUAGCUUGUUGGUGAGGUAACGGCUCACCAAGGCGACGAUCCCUACGCUGGUCUGAGAGGAUGAUCAGCCACACUGGAACUGAGACACGGUCCAGACUCCUACGGGAGGCAGCAGUGGGGAAGUAUUGCACAAUGGGCGAAAGCCUGAUGCAGCCAUGCCGCG
rnacentral:rRNA from 1 species